rnacentral:rRNA from 1 species
CAGGAUGAACGCUAGCUACAGGCUUAACACAUGCAAGUCGAGGGGCAGCAUUGGAGUAGCAAUACUCAGAUGGCGACCGGCGCACGGGUGAGUAACACGUAUCCAACCUGCCGCCUACUCGGGGAUAGCCUUUCGAAAGAAAGAUUAAUACCCGAUGGUAUAAAGAGUUCGCAUGUUCUCUUUAUUAAAGAAUUUCGGUAAGCGAUGGGGAUGCGUUCCAUUAGAUAGUUGGCGGGGUAACGGCCCACCAAGUCUACGAUGGAUAGGGGUUCUGAGAGGAAGGUCCCCCACAUUGGAACUGAGACACGGUCCAAACUCCUACGGGAGGCAGCAGUGAGGAAUAUUGGUCAAUGGACGAGAGUCUGAACCAGCCAAAAGUAGCGUGAAGGAUGACUGCCCUAUGGGUUGUAAACUUCUUUUAUAAGGGAAUAAAGUGAGGGACGUGUCCCUUUUUGUAUGUACCUUAUGAAUAAGGAUCGGCUAACUCCGUGCCAGCCGCGGC